AACGAACGCUGGCGGCAUGCCUAACACAUGCAAGUCGAACGAGACCUUCGGGUCUAGUGGCGCACGGGUGCGUAACGCGUGGGAAUCUGCCCUUCGGUUGGGAAUAACUGAGAGAAAUUUCAGCUAAUACCUUAUAAUGUCUUCGGACCAAAGAUUUAUCGCCGAGGGAUGAGCCCGCGUAGGAUUAGGUAGUUGGUGGGGUAAUGGCCUACCACGCCGACGAUCCUUAGCUGGUCUGAGAGGAUGAUCAGCCACACUGGGACUGAGACACGGCCCAGACUCCUACGGGAGGCAGCAGUGGGGAAUAUUGGAAAAUGGGCGAAAGCCUGAUCCAGCAAUGCCGCGUGAGUGAUGAAGGCCUUAGGGUUGUAAAGCUCUUUUACCCGGGAUGAUAAUGACAGUACCGGGAGAAUAAGCUCCGGCUAACUCCGUG
rnacentral:rRNA from 1 species